rnacentral:rRNA from 1 species
UACGAAGGGGGCUAGCGUUGCUCGGAAUCACUGGGCGUAAAGCGCACGUAGGCGGCUUUCUAAGUCAGGGGUGAAAUCCUGGAGCUCAACUCCAGAACUGCCUUUGAUACUGGAGAGCUUGAGUCCGGAAGAGGUGAGUGGAACUCCGAGUGUAGAGGUGAAAUUCGUAGAUAUUCGGAAGAACACCAGUGGCGAAGGCGACUAACUGGACAUGUAUUGACGCUGAGGUACGAAAGCGUGGGGAGCAAACAGG